rnacentral:tRNA from 1 species
GGUCGGUUAGCUCAGUUGGUAGAGCGUGGUGCUAAUAGAUCCCAAUCGGUGGUCCUCGACUCAUCUCAAUAGAGUUCGAGAAAACGACGCCAGUUGCCUUGAGACGCCAAGGUCGCGAGUUCGACCCUCGUACUGACCA